rnacentral:misc_RNA from 1 species
UACGUGGGGUGCAAGCAUUAAUCGGAGUUAUUGGGCGUAAAGGGUGCGUAGGCGGAUCAGUAAGUGGGAUGUGAAAUCCCGGGGCUCAACCCCGGAACUGCAUUCCAUACUGCUGGUCUUGAGGGUAGACGGGGAGAAUAGAAUUCCACAUGUAGCGGUGAAAUGCGUAGAUAUGUGGAAGAAUACCGGUGGCGUAGGCGAUUCUCUAGUUUAUACCUGACGCUGAGGCACGAAAGCUGGGGGAGCAAACAGG